UGGGGAAUAUUGCACAAUGGGCGCAAGCCUGAUGCAGCGACGCCGCGUGAGGGAUGGAGGCCUUCGGGUUGUAAACCUCUUUUGUUUGGGAGCAAGCCUUCGGGUGAGUGUACCUUUCGAAUAAGCGCCGGCUAACUACGUGCCAGCAGCCGCGGUAAUACGUAGGGCGCAAGCGUUAUCCGGAUUUAUUGGGCGUAAAGGGCUCGUAGGCGGCUCGUCGCGUCCGGUGUGAAAGUCCAUCGCUUAACGGUGGAUCUGCGCCGGGUACGGGCGGGCUGGAGUGCGGUAGGGGAGACUGGAAUUCCCGGUGUAACGGUGGAAUGUGUAGAUAUCGGGAAGAACACCGAUGGCGAAGGCAGGUCUCUGGGCCGUCACUGACGCUGAGGAGCGAAAGCGUGGGGAGCGAACA
rnacentral:rRNA from 1 species